AUUGAGGGAAGACGGUGGUAAUGGAGGUAUGUGGUUUUCAAAGCUGGCAGUUGUUGAAGGCAGUCACCUCCUCUUCUCUGCAGUAAUGUGCUAUCCUGCUUCCCAGAUUUCAUCCACAGUACAGUCUGAAUAUUCCACCUGGGGAAGAGUUGAUGCUUUGGUCCUCAAAAAGUAUCACUUAUAAGCCUUGCCCGUUGGUCCUGCUUUAACAGACUCUAGCCCAUGCCUUAGUUUUAAAAUGUAAUUAAACUUUUGCCGUUCCUGUUGCGGCUUAGCUGAUUAAGAAUCCAACAUAGUAUCCAUGAGGAUGCAGGUUUGGUCCUUGGGCUUUCUUAGUGAGUCAAGGAUCCGGUGUUGCUGCAAGCUGUGGCAUUGGUUGCAGAUGCGCCUUGGAUCUGGCAUUGCUGUGGCUGUGGUGUAGAUGGGCCACUGCAGUGCCGAUUUGACCCCUAGCCUGGGACCUUCCAUAUGCUGCAGGUGUGGCCUUGAAGAAAGAAAAUAUAAUUAAAUGUUUAACAGUUUCCCAUAUUUAUAAGAGACUUUUAAGUGCUAUAUCUAUUAGUAGAAUUUUCUCCCAGACAAGUAGGAAGCUCCAAGAAACAGUAUAAAUGAGAAGCAACUGCAGAGGGUACGUAGAGAGUUGGGAAUGGAGGCGCCAAUAGUGAAGGGGAGGAAACUGGCAGAGCCCUGACAGUCAAUAAGAAAAGCUAACAGACUCUUGCCUGGUCCUCUUCAGGAGCAGCUAGUGCAGCUUUUCACUGCUGCCCUGGGCUGCACCCCCUCAGACUUUAGGAUAAGAACUGAGGCCCAGUAGACUGGGGGCUCUUCUCCAAGAGACACUCUGUAGACGGGCACAGGGUGCUUUCUGAGACUUUUUUUUUUUUUUUUGGCCCACACUGCGGCAUAUGGAGGUUCCUAGGCUAGGGGUCCAACUGGAGCUGCAGCUGCCAGCCUACCCCCAAGCCACAGCAACGCCAGAUCCGAGCCAUGUCUGCAACCUAGGCCAUAGCUCACAGCAAUGCCGGAUCCUUAACCCACUGAGCAAGGCCAGGGAUCAAACCCAAGUCCUUAUGGAUCCUAGUUGGGUUUGUUAUCACUGAACCACAAUGGGAACUCUGCUUUCUGAGACUCUUUAAGAAUCAGAUCCAGAGGCUGAGUCAAGAUAUGUUCAUGGCCUCAUGUAGCGGGACUCUGAGGAGCCCCUCCAUGACCCACCUUCGCCCCCUUUUCUUCCAGGCUGUGUGGUUGCAUCUCCCCUUCCAGCUGUCCCUGUCACAGCCUGGCAUAUCAGGGACAGGCAGUGAGUUAUCUGCCUCAGAGUCCUUUAAAACCUCUACUGCGUUUCAUACCAGAAAAACCUCCAGAGACUAGCCAAACGGAGAGGUCUGUCCAUGACAACUUGAAAGAGCAGGUAUGGACCCUGUACAGAGAGUCUCCUUUCUGGGGUGUUCUGCUGCUGUGAGCUUUGGGGAAGCAGGUUCCCAGUUAACCACCUGGUGUGGUGAUGGUUUUUCAUCCAUCCCUUCCUCGUCCACCCUGUGCCAUGAAUGUGAGUGGCCUCAUGACUGGCUUGGUCUCUUCUCAUUUCAUGAAAUAAUAGGGGGAAGUCUGCACUUUGGGUGUUUAAUAAGCAUGAUUGUGGGUGUCCCCAAGGGGCAGUGAGGGGACUUCUGCUUUUUCUUCAAAAGGAAAUCACAGGUCUGAAUUGGUUUGGAGGUGUGAGUUUUCAUUUCAGAGCAUCUAACAAAAGAGGGGUUUCAGGAUCUAAAUGGUCCAGGCCUGGAGCAUAGACAUGCCUCUCUGCGGGAUGGGGGAGCAGGUGAGGGUGUGUCUCCCAAGAAGAACUGAUUGGAAGCCUUGAGCUGGUCUUUGCGCCCAGAAAUUCUUGUGCCUCUGAAGGUCAAAAAAGGAACCUGAACUGGAUCUCAGACAUGUCCGGUGAUUUGGGAGUUUGGUUCUUCCUUUCAACAGUCUUUGACUAAGAUGCUAACAUAGUAUUCUGUUAAACAAGCAGCCCUUGUUUAGACUGCUGGCAUCCGGUCAGGUGUGGGCCUGACCUUCAGUGGCAGCAGGUACCUCGAACCCUGGGCUGUCCCCCAGUCAGGGGCUGUGGGUCCCCCAGGCUGCCUACCGAGGGGACCCUCAGCCUUGAGGGAUGGGCUUUAUCACAGAAUCCCCCUAGGGCUUCUCGUUGGCUCCUGCUGCUUGUGUUCUAGGUGUUCUGCCAGUGAGUUUAUAGGUAGCAAAGUCUAUCCCUAAUUUAUCCAAACAUUAUUCCCAAAAUUUAUCCCCCUCCAAGAGAGUGCACCCCAUACCCACCUGAUCCCAAGACCACAGCCUCAUGGGGGAGCCAGGCAGCAGGGUGAUGUGCUGAGUUAGCUGUGGUCCCUGCUGCCCAUAAGGCUGCUUUCUUCAUGGCCAUGAACCCCCAGACCUGCCACACUGAGGUUCUGGGCUCUGGCCAGGCCUCUGGGGAGUUGGCCUUCUUACCCCAACACAGGCUAGCAGCAUGUUCAGCUCUCAGGUCCCUGGAGGAAAGCAUCCCUCUGCUGACCAAGAUGAGGGCUCCUUUGGGAGCCUCUUGGGGGCUGUUUAGGCUCAGAGGCAGUGGAGUUUAGAAACCCAGAGAUCCUGAGGCUGGGCCAGCUGCUGGGGUCCCACUUCUGCUUGGCCUCUAAGUGCUGGCCUCAGGACAUGGCCUCUGGGGAAAGGCGUCUCCCCCACAGAGUCCCCAGGUGCCACAUUCAAACAUCCCUGAGGCCACUGCUCCGUCCUGCCAGGCAUCUGCUCAGUAUGCUCUGCAUAUGGGUGUAUGGGACAGGCAUGUGACAGAGCUUCUGUUGACAGCUCGAGACACAGACACUAUGGGGAGACAUUUCUUCUCUGUAAAGGAGGUUUGGCUUUGGUCUCCCUCUAAUCCAACCUCCAGUGCUCCAGUAAGCUCCCCUGUCAGUCACCCCUCGGGGUCUCCUGCUUCCACAAAGUGUGCGGCUGUCUUCCACCCAGCCACCUUCUCACCGAGCUGCAAAAUCCAGAAGGAAACAGGAUAGUUAAGUUCUGCCCCAGGUCAUGAUGUCCUUAUUGAUCUGGUCACAUGAACUAUUUUAUUUUUAUUCACCGGAAAUAAACUUAU
rnacentral:lncRNA from 1 species